AGCCACAGCCACGGCAAUGUCAGAUCUAAGUUGCAUCUGUGACCUACAUACACCACAGCUCAUGGCAACACCAGAUCCUUAACCCACCGAGCAAGGCGAGGGAUCAAACCUGUGUCCUCAUGGAUACUAGUCAGAUUCGUUUCCACUGAGCCAGGAUGGGAACUUCUGGUCAUAAUUUUUUUUAAGUUAAAUAAAGGUGGCUGGAAUUGUUGAUAUGAAUGCUCUUUUUAAGCACUGAAAUUCUAUAAUUGUACUAUAUGAACUGAAAAUUAGGAAAAAAAAUCUAAAUGAAUAAUUUCAAUAGAUAUCAAUACUACAUUUUUAAACAAUUUCAGAUUUUGCAAUGAUAAGAACCCACUAAUAUGAAUCCCAUGUCAUGAUUUUUAAUCACCGUUCCAGCAUUUACUACCCACAUUAGAUGAUUCCAUUGGCAAGUAACAGGAAUUCUGGUGAUGAAAUAAGGAUGCCUAUUAUUUCACAGUGCAGAGAAAGCAAACAGGCCAAGAAGAAAGAAGUCAAUUGCUUUCAAUGGUAUCAUAAGGUUGGAACACAGCAUUGAAGUUCAGAGUUUCAAAGGUAAGCAAAAGCUAAGGGGUCUAGGUUCUGAAGAAAAGAGAACAAGGGUAUAGCUCAAUAUUUUGUACCACUAACCUUCUCAAGGCAUUUUCAUAUUCUUUAUUUCCAUGAACUAAGAGGCCAGGAAGGCACAUAGAAAUCUGAAGCUGAAUCAUAAAUACUAAGGGGAAUCUUUGGUUGUCUUAAUGGUAUUUGGGUUUUAAAAGGUGGCAUAAAGGGCGUGCCUAGUAUGAAUAGCUCUAGUACAUAUAUGAGGUUUGCAGCUGAUUCCCUAGAGAACUAUGUAUUACCAAUAAAAACAAACCAUAAAUAGGCCA
rnacentral:lncRNA from 1 species